rnacentral:rRNA from 1 species
AACGUAGGACACAAGCGUUAUCCGGAUUUACUGGGCGUAAAGCGUGUGCAGGCGGGGAGACAAGUGGUGUAUGAAAUUUCCCGGCUUAACCGGGAAGGGUAUGCCAGACUGUCUUUCGUGGAGUGCGAGAGAGGGGCGUGGAAUUCCGGGUGUAGUGGUGAAAUGCGUAGAGAUCCGGAGGAACCCCAGAGGCGAAGGCGGCUUUCUGGACGGUAACUGACGCUGAGACGGCGAAAGCGUGGGGAGCAAACAGG